UCCUCCAAAUGUUGGCUGAAAUUCAUCCCAAGGCUGGUCUGCAAAGUUUACAAUUCAUAAUGGAGCUACUGUACUGGCUAUUGGAAGGAGGAGAUUCUGAAGAUAAGGAGCAACUUCGUCUUUUCUCAUUGGACCUUGAGAACAAUGCAGAGAUUGCACUGUCCCCCAUGUCAGAGCCAGGAGAUCAGGGGUGCAGACGUGUGAAGUGACCCAUCCUAGAUCCCACCGCUGUUCGCAUUCUCAAGUUUGAGCUCAGAUCCUCUGCUUCCAAGCGUGAUUAAUUUCACUUUCUGUGUCUUACUCCAUGAGCCCUAAUGCUUCUGCUGAGAUUCCUAAUUCAGUGAAACCUGUUUAGGGGAUCAUCUCUGUUAGGCAGACAGCUGCUGAAAAGGCAUUGACUUUCCAAGCAUGGAUUUUAGAUUAUGGCCAAUCAAGACUCCGGCCUGGAAGAACACCUGUCAGAGACGUUUUUCUACAAGGAGAUGGUCUCUUUAAUCAGAUUUCAUUGUACUUCAGAAAAAGGUUCGUUUUAAAAUCAUCACAGAAUCACUGGUUGGACUCAUGCCAUCUCAGAGGAAGAAAGAUCCUAGAGGCCAUCCCUCUGGUUUCACUCCUGUUGGCAUUGGAGAGAAAACCUAAGGCUAGCAUUCCCAGUAACCAAUCAUUUGCAGAGGAGCAAAGUUUGUCAUCUUGAUACACUAGAUCUUUGAUGAUAUCAAUAAGGAAACAUCCACACCCUUUGGUUAAAAGACUCUGAGACUUCAAGGACUGCUGGCUGUCCAGAAGAGGCUGUGGUGGUUCAAGUGAGGCUCAAGGCUGUAGUUAUACCAAUCUGUUACUCCAUGAAGAGUCCAAGGCUGCUGAACAGAGUGAACCUCAGAACAGAUAGCAGUGGCACCUAGAAGAUAUAAUCUCAACAGCAGAUGAGUUAUUGAGGGAUGAUUGCUGAUUAUGGAUUCCUCUUCAUCUCUCUUAACUUAUAUUCCAAGCUGUUAACCUAGAAUAAAUCCUACUAUAUCUAAUUAAUGCAUUAAUCAAACUUUGUUUUGAAUGGAAGGGGGGAGAAUAUGUUGAUUACCCCGGCUAGUGGGAUACAAAAUAUGCCUAAAGCAGAAUAUCUUUCUCCAUCAUGAAUAACAUUAAUCUCUGCAGUUCUCACAAGUGAAUAAUUAUUAUAUAGUUUGUUUCCUAUUUGUCUGGCUUGGUAUUUAUCCUUUAUGAGUUUCCAGGUGACAAUUUGUUUCAGGAAGAAUUCUCUCCGGAAACAAUUUUUUAAGAUUAUCAUCAAAUUCCUUAAUAAAGAGUUGAAAGCCAAACUCACUAGGUGAAAUGCAACAACAACCAAUGGGCAACAGACUGAUCUCCAACUUUCUGAAUUCUUUUUUUUUUUUUUUUUUUUGAGACAGGGUCUCUCUCUCUGUCGAUCAGGCUGGAGUGCAGUGGCUCAAUCUUGGCUCACUGCAGCCUCCACCUCCCAGGCCCAAGCAAUCCCGAGUAGUAGGGACUCAGGCACGCACCACGACACCUGGCUAAUUUUUUGUAUUUUUGGUAGAGAGAGGGUUUCACCAUGUUGCCUAGGCUGGUCUUGAGCUCCUGAGCUCAAAGUAUUUGCUUGCCUCAGCCUCCCAAAGUGCUGGGGUUACAGGCGUGAGCCACCGUGCCAGGCCUUUAAUUCUUAAUUGCUGCCAGGAUUGAUUGGUAAGGCUGUAGAAGAGUUGCUGUCCAUUCCAAGUCUUGCCAUCUGAAGCAACCACCAUGCCACAGCCUUAUUCUGUCCCAUGGCUGUUUUGUGCAUCUCCAAGUGUACCAGUAUGAGGCCCUCAAACACACCCAUGCCCUCUGAUGAAAUAAUGUUGGUCAUGAUAACCACAGGGAUGUCACAGCCGCUGUUCCACACUCUAACUAAUUCUUAUUUUGUUCUAACAACAACAAUUUGAAAUGGGAAGAACCACCCCAUUUUAGACAUUUCAAAACGAGUGCUUGGAUAGAUUAUGUACCUUGUCCAAGGUCACACAACCAAAUGGCAAGGUACGGACUCAACCUAGUUCCAUCUGCCUCCAGUCCAAAACCCAGAGCUCUCAACUGCCACCCUCAUUGUCUCUACUAGAUACUGGCUUCUCUGCGGUAACUGUUGAGGCUGGAAAACACAGGCCUGAGAGAACUUUUAAAUAUGAAAUGAUAACUCUUUGCCUACUGAGAUUCUUAUUUUUAAAAACCCAGAGGAAGAUCAUAUUUAUAUAUUUAUUCAACAUUCAUGUAUGAUAUUUAGAUUUACAAAAUGCUUUAUAGUGUAACAGAAUGGGCAGAAAUUUUUACUCGGGCUUAUAAUUGUCUUUUCUUUCAUAUUCAUUUAUUCCUUUGAUUUAUAUAAUGUGUUCUCUGCUUGGUCUUCUGAGAUUACGUACAAUGGUAACAAAUCGAAAAUAAUAUUAAUAAAAGAUUAUUUUGUAUCACUCACAGGGAAAACUGACUGGGGCCAUGCGCCUCUCUGUUCUUUAGAAACGUUAUGCGAGAGAACAUAAUAUCGUCCCCAGAAUACUGUCUGCAAUGCCGGCUAUGCUUAUUCGUGGUGCUUUAAAAAUAAAUUUAACUCCUGCUCUUCAUUU
rnacentral:lncRNA from 1 species